UGCAUGAUAUGUCCAUAUAACCUGCUAACGAAUUCUAACUGGCAUUUUUAAUUAAGAAUAUGGUUGUACUGAUGACCAUCAGAAGUAUGGCUAUUUUUUAAAAAGGGGCAAAAAAAAAAUGGAGAAAUAUAUUCUAAAUCAAAGCAUAUUUUGUUUUAUGGACAAAUUUUAAUUCAUUUAAGAGACAAACUGACCUUCUCUACCCUUUGUUAUAUGUCUCCAGGCACAAAAGUUAAAUCAGACUUACAAAUCAACUCCUUUUGCCAGCUCAGUCAUCCCCUCACUUUAGCAUUUCUGUCUCCCACAGCCGCUGUCUCGGUCUCCCCAGCUGUGGUCUGUCCCAGCACUUUGCAACUGAUUAACUCUGAAAUUAAUACAAAUCUUCACCAAGUUUUCCAAUACCUUCCUAAUUGCAUAUGGAUAUGAUUCUGCUUAACCAACAGAUUAGGUUUCUACAUGCUUCCUUUGUGAAUUAAAGUACUUUUUCAAUAUCAAGAUUGCCCUUAUUUUGUGGUGUUCUUAUUUUUAACAGUCUUUUUAAGGCUACACAUUACAGUCUUUCUAACCGACUUCCAGAAAAGAAGGGUCCACCUGUAGGCAAGAGCAGCUGUGUUGAGUUUGCUAAUGUUGCCACAGGUCCACCAAGGCAAAUCUAUUUAGCCAUGGAUGAGAUGGUGGUGGGCAGACAGCUGGAACCACAAAAUUAGGCUUUAAUGAAGCCGGAGUGUUCUGCAGCAUCUGUAGCACUGGUGGGUUCUUGCUGGUUGUGUUGCAGCUGCUUCUGUGUAGUUUGCAGUGCAGAGGCCAUCCAUCCACUUGUGCACCUACAUCAGAUCAAGGAGCUUCAAACUCAUCAUCACAACGCUCAGCAUUUUCUGUUAUUUUUUUCCCAAUUGUUGUGCAACCACCCCUUAAUUAAUCCUUGUAACAAUGAGAAAGAGAAACGUUAGAUUUAUUUGACAUUGUACACAGAAUAAGAUUGGAAGCUGGGAUAGGAUUUCUGGGGAAGUAUCUCUCAGUCUUCUGCUAAAUUAAGCUCCUUUUAAUGUUCCUCAUAUAAUUCAGCUGUUAAUUUUGCUCCUAAUUCUUUUUCUUUUCUUCUUUCCUUCUUUUCCCCAGUAAUUACUAUCAGCUGGUUCAGUGCCUGCAGUGUUGUCGACACGUUCCAGACAUACAAGCACGACAAAUAAUUUUUACAAGGCUUCCCAUAAAAAUAUAUUGCAUAUCUGAGAUCACUUUGAUUUAGUGAGGCUGGGAGAUUUUAAACACUGGCAUGCAUUAUGUAUCCAGUGAAGCUGUGUAGAUUAGUAAUAACGAAGUUCAUUUUUUUUGACUCGUGCUUUAUGUAACUUGCUUCAUCCAGUUGCUCUCAGCACAGGACAUACAGAGUUCAUAACACAGGGGUGCCCUGAUCAUGGAAGUGCUUAAGAUUGUCUGGUUUUCCCAGUUUCAGAGUUUGAUCCUUGUCUCACUUCAUCAAAGCCUCCUACCUGUAUCAUAGCAAAGACUGAAGAAAGCACUACCAACUUUUGUUAAUGAGAGGGAAAUGUGGCUUGAGUCUUUUUAUGUCUCUGUUAUUUUCAGGUCCUUACUUAAGGCCAAUCCAAAUUUAAAACCAAACUAAUUUUCCUCAUACUUACCAGAAAUACGUAUUUGCAAAUGCUUCCUAUAAAUAUAUGUUCACUGUGUACAUGUGUUCUAUCUAUAUAUUUAUAUUUAAAUAAUUCCAGAUGUGUAUGUGUUUGAAUAGAUUAAUAUAGAAAAUUCCUUUCAAAAACAUCAGAACUUGCUGCUUCUCUCAAAUCAGGCUGCCGUCAGGCUGUCUGCAGAUGUCUGUUCUCUUCUGCCCUCAUGUGGUUAUGAUCAAAAUGCAUGUGUACAGUGCAAUAAGGAUACCUGCAUCUCUGCAGUCCCCUGGGCAAAUACCUUUUCAGUUCAGAACUCUCUGGC
rnacentral:lncRNA from 1 species